rnacentral:rRNA from 1 species
GAUGAACGCUGGCGGCGUGCCUAAUACAUGCAAGUCGAGCGAACAGACGAGGUGCUUGCUCCUCUGACGUUAGCGGCGGACGGGUGAGUAACACGUGGAUAACCUACCUAUAAGACUGGGAUAACUUCGGGAAACCGGAGCUAAUACCGGAUAAUAUAUUGAACCGCAUGGUUCAAUAGUGAAAGACGGUUUUGCUGUCACUUAUAGAUGGAUCCGCGCCGCAUUAGCUAGUUGGUAAGGUAACGGCUUACCAAGGCAACGAUGCGUAGCCGACCUGAGAGGGUGAUCGGCCACACUGGAACUGAGACACGGUCCAGACUCCUACGGGAGGCAGCAGUAGGGAAUCUUCCGCAAUGGGCGAAAGCCUGACGGAGCAACGCCGCGUGAGUGAUGAAGGUCUUCGGAUCGUAAAACUCUGUUAUUAGGGAAGAACAAAUGUGUAAGUAACUAUGCACGUCUUGACGGUACCUAAUCAGAAAGCCACGGCUAACUACGUG